GACGGAGGGUGCUAGCGUUGUUCGGAAUCACUGGGCGUAAAGGCGCGUAGGCGGCCUUGCAAGUCGGUUGGUGAAAGCCCGGGGCUCAACCCCGGAGGUGCGGCCGAGACUGCAGGGCUGGAGGCCGGAAGAGGAGGUGGAAUACCCAGUGUAGAGGUGAAAUCGUAGAUAUUGGGUGGAACACCGGUGGCGAAAGCGGCUCUCUGGUCCGGACCUGACGCUGAGGCGCGAAGCGUGGGAGCAAACAGG
rnacentral:rRNA from 1 species